UACGUAGGGUGCGAGCGUUAAUCGGAAUUACUGGGCGUAAAGCGUGCGCAGGCGGUUUUGUAAGCCAGAUGUGAAAUCCCCCGGCUUAACCUGGGAACUGCGUCUGAUACUGGACGGCUUGAGUAUGGGAGAGGGAUGUAGAAUUCCAGGUGUAGCGGUGAAAUGCGUAGAUAUCUGGAGGAAUACCGGUGGCGAAGGCGGCAUCCUGGACCAUUACUGACGCUGAGGCGCGAAAGCUAGGGGAGCAAACGGG
rnacentral:rRNA from 1 species